rnacentral:rRNA from 1 species
CGGGACGGGGUGGAGUAAUGUCUGGGAAACGUGCCUGAUGGAGGGGGAUAACUGCUGGAAACGGUAGCUAAUACCGUAUAACGUCGCAAGACCAAAGAGGGGGGCCGUUCGGGCCUCUUGCCAUCGGAUGUGCCCAGAUGGGAUUAGCUAGUAGGUGGGGUAACGGCUCACCUAGGCGACGAUCCCUAGCUGGUCUGAGAGGAUGGCCAGCCACACUGGAACUGAGACACGGUCCAG